UGAAGCGGCAACAGCUAAAUUUGAAAUCUGGCUUCGGCCCGAGUUGUAUUUGUAGAGGAAGCUUUUGGUGAGGCACCUUCUGAGUCCCCUGGAACGGGGCGCCAUAGAGGGUGAGAGCCCCGUAUAGUCGGAUGCCGAUCCAAUGUAAAGCUCCUUCGACGAGUCGAGUAGUUUGGGAAUGCUGCUCAAAAUGGGAGGUAAAUUUCUUCUAAAGCUAAAUAUAGGCCAGAGACCGAUAGCGCACAAGUAGAGUGAUCGAAAGAUGAAAAGCACUUUGAAAAGAGGGUUAAAUAGCACGUGAAAUUGUUGAAAGGGAAGCGUUUUUGACCAGACUUGCGCCGUUCCGAUCAUCCGGUGUUCUCACCGGUGCACUCGGGACGGCACAAGGCCAGCAUCGGUUUUGGCGGGGGGACAAAGGUCCGGGGAACGUAGCUCCUUCGGGAGUGUUAUAGCCCGGGCGUAAUGCCCUCGCCGGGACCGAGGUUCGCGCAUC
rnacentral:rRNA from 1 species